ensembl:lncRNA
GACUUGGCGUACCAUACACAUUUUCCAGACAGUUCACUCAUAAGAUUUUUUCUUGCACUGGAGUUGCACUCAAAUUGCAACUUUCCUGUUCUGGUUCUUGAGGGACAUUUUGUGAGUAUGUGAAGCUAGCCCUUCAACUCAGUGGCUCUUCCUUCACUGUGGGGGAGGUGGAGGAGGAUUCCAACAAAGUCACCCCUGAAUCCCCUAAAACAUGUUUUGGGGUGGGCUACGUGCAGCUUGGGCCAUCUCGCAUGUUAACAGCCUGCACCAUCUCGCCUACUGGACCCAUUUUGGGGCGGACGAGACUGGCGUCCUGUGUGGCGUAUCCGCCGCUGACAACUGCACAAGCAGCCAUCAUCCCAAGGCCUUCGCCGCCCACUACGCUCUCAAGCCCACCAGCCGCUACGCACUCUAUCCCACCGGCCUCAGCGCUCUCAAGCCUGCCGGUCGCUGCGCUCUCUAGUUCGGGGGCUGCAGCGCCAUGUGUCUCGGAUGUAGAUGUUUUGUUUUCCAUGUUCCUUGUGAUGACUAUGGCCAUUUUGUGCAUUUGGGCUGUGCACACCUUGCCAGUUUCUGCCGAGACAGUGGCGGCUUCCUUCUCCGAACUCUCUGUGCUCCCUGUGGCCUCUGUUGCGGCUGUGGGCUCUGUUUCUGAACUCUCUGUGUUCCUUAAGGCCACCAUUUCUGAACUUUUUGUGUCCACUGAAUCCCCCAUUAUGACUAUUGAGACUGUUUCUAAACUCUCUGUCUGCCAUGUCUCAGCCAAGAAGCCCAUCUAUGAACUCUCUGCUUGUUCAGCCAUGGCCAAAGAGGCCACUGGUAAGCUCUCUGAAUGUCCCGUCAUGGCCAUGAAGGCCAUCUGUGAUCUAUUUGUCUGCCCUGUUACAGCCGAAAAGACCGUUGUUGACCUCUCGGUGAUCUCUGCUCCAGUUCUAGUUCCACCUCCACCUUGGUGGUCACCUGACUCAUUAUCUCCCCUUUGGAUGUUCUCUCCUCUGCUGUGGUCGUCAUCUGCUUCUCCGUGGGGACCUGCGGACCCAUCUGCUCUGCUGUGGUGGUCAUCUGCUCUACC